AAUGGUCUAACGACUGAACCAGUAACUUGGAAGAAUGUAAAUGUAUUAAUUAUAAUACAAUAACGAUUAAAUCGUAUAAAAUUCUAAAUAGAAUAAUGAUAAUGACAAUUUUCUAUUUAUAAGUCUUGACCAAAUUACGUGCCAGCAGUCGCGGUAAUACGUAAAAGACUAGUGUUAGUCAUCUUUAUUAGGUUUAAAGGGUACCUAGACGGUAAAUUAAACUCUAAAAGAGUACUUUUUUACUAGAGUUUUAUAAGAGAAGGAAGAAUUUUUGGAGUAGUGAUAGAAUACUUUGAUACCAAGAGGACUGAUAACGGCGAAGGCGUCCUUCUAUGUAAAAACUGACGUUGAGGGACGAAGGCUUAGGUAGCAAUAAGGAUUAGAUACCCUAAUAGUCUAAGCAGAAAAUGAUGAAUGCCAUAGGCUAGGUAAUAAAUUUAGUCUAUAAAUGAAAGUGUAAGCAUUCCACCUCAAGAGUAAUAUGGCAACAUAUAAACUGAAAUCAUUAGACCGUUUCUGAAACCAGUAGUGAAGUAUGUUAUUUAAUUCGAUAACCCGCGAAAAACCUUACCACAAUUUGAAUAAUAUUAAAUUAUUACAAGCGCUGCACGGCUGUCUUCAGUUAAUGUCGUGAGAUUUGGUUAAUUCCUUAAAUUAACGAAAACCCGCACUUUAUUUGUUUACAUAAGGUGGUUCGCCAUUAGAUUGGAAUCGAUAAAAGGGACUAAGACAAGUCAUCAUGGCCUAAAUAUUG
rnacentral:rRNA from 1 species